rnacentral:rRNA from 1 species
UACGUAGGGGGCGAGCGUUGUCCGGAAUCAUUGGGCGUAAAGAGCGUGUAGGCGGCCCGAUAAGUCCGCCGUGAAAGUCCAGGGCUCAACCCUGGAAUGCCGGUGGAAACUGUCGGGCUGGAGUCCGGAAGAGGCGAGUGGAAUUCCUGGUGUAGCGGUGAAAUGCGCAGAUAUCAGGAGGAACACCAAUGGCGAAGGCAGCUCGCUGGGACGGUACUGACGCUGAGACGCGAAAGCGUGGGGAGCAAACAGG